rnacentral:sRNA from 1 species
UGCCUUCUCAGCCUGCAUGGAGACCUGAGGCUCCCCUAACUGUCGCCAGGAAAUCCUCUCCUGCUCUCCACUCUUCCUGGAGGCUGCUGACCAAGGACCUUCGGGGGGAGAUGACGCCACCCUCGGUGGAAGAGCGCCGGCCCUCACUGCAGGGCAACACGCUGGGCCGUGGGGUCUCCUGGCUCCUCAGUCUGAGUGGCAGCCAGGGCAGUGACCUGGGCCUGGUGGACUUUAACGGCCAAAC